CAGCACAAAGCUCCUGAGUGCUGCUGCAGAAGACAGGAAGAACUGGACAGAAAAGGAAUGUAACAAAGGUUGUCCAAUCUUCUCCUGCUAAGGCCACUCUGAGUGGUCCCCUUCAGAGCCACGGGUGGGCUUGCAAGAGGAGAUUCUCCUGGUGCUUGAGCUCUUUAUUUCAACUGGGCUCUCCAGUCACCCAACAACGUCUGGAAUGGAGAUGCAGAGAGGGAAAGAGACGUUUCCUUAAAAAGACAUCGACAUCAAAGCUAAAGGAAAGAAAAGGAGCCAGCAUGAUAUGUGAGGGAGGAUGUGAGAUGGAAUUCCAUGGCACACUAGGAUUUGGCCGAAGGCCAGUGGGGUACUGAGUUAAAGGAUACAGAGAGAGGGCAAACACUGGCUGUGCAGAGGCAUCUCAAACCUCAGCUGUAAACCAUCACAGACCCUUGUGUAAAUAUAC